rnacentral:rRNA from 1 species
AUUGAACGCUGGCGGCAUGCCUUACACAUGCAGGUCGAACGGUAACAGGUCUUCGGAUGCUGACGAGUGGCGAACGGGUGAGUAAUACAUCGGAACGUGCCUAGUAGUGGGGGAUAACUACUCGAAAGAGUGGCUAAUACCGCAUGAGAUCUACGGAUGAAAGCAAGGGAUCGCAAGACCUUGUGCUACUAGAGCGGCCGAUGGCAGAUUAGGUAGUUGGUGGGAUAAAAGCUUACCAAGCCGACGAUCUGUAGCUGGUCUGAGAGGACGAUCAGCCACACUGGGACUGAGACACGGCCCAGACUCCUACGGGAGGCAGCAGUGGUGAAUUUUGGACAAUGGGCGCAAGCCUGAUCCAGCAAUGCCGCGUGCAGGAUGAAGGCCUUCGGGUUGUAAAAUGCUUUUGUACGGAACGAAAAGCCCCGGGUUAAUACCCUGGGGUCAUGACGGUACCGUAAGAAUAAGCACCGGCUAACUACGUGCCAGCCGCCGCGGUAA